rnacentral:lncRNA from 1 species
UUUCAGAUAUAUUACAGAGUAGUAUAGUACCCCUAACAAGAUGGUGGUUUGUCAGUGUUUAUAAGAAAGAACAGUUGGAUAACAAUGGUUAUAAGAAAGGACA